rnacentral:lncRNA from 1 species
UUGAUUAGGAUUUGAUUUAGGAUUAGGGUUUGGUUAGGGUUUGGUUUAGGGUUUAGGAUUAGGAUUAGGAUUUGGUUAGGAUUUGAUUUUAGAUUAGGGUUUGGUUAAGGUUUGGUUAAGAUUUGAUUUAGGAUUAGGAUUUAGUUUAAGAUUUAGGAUUUGAUUAGGAUUUGAUUUAAGAUUAAGGUUUGGUUAAGAUUUGAUUUAGGGUUAGGGUUUGGUUUAGGAUUUAGGAUAAGAGUUAGGAUUUGUUUAGGAUUUGAUUUAGGGUUAGGAUUUGGUUAGGAUUUGAUUUAGGAUUAAUAUUUGGUUAGGAUUUGAUUUAGAGUUAGAAUUUAGUUUAGGAUUUAAGAUUAGGGUUAGGAUUUGAUUAGGAUUUGAUUUAGGAUUAUGGUUUGAUUAGGAUUUAGUUUAGGAUUUAGGAUUUGAUUAGGAUUUGAUUAGGAUUUGAUUUAGAAUUUAAGAUUAGAAUUAGGAUUUGGUUAGAAUUUGAUUUAGGGUUAGGAUUUGAUUAGGAUUUGGUUAGGAUUUGAUUUAGGAUUAGGGUUUGGUUUAAGAUUUAAGGUUUGGUUAGGAUUUGGUUAGGAUUUGAUUUAGGAUUAGGAUUUGGUUUAGAAUUUAGGAUUUGAUUAGAGUUUGAUUUAGGAUUUAGGAUUUGAUUUAGGGUUUAAGGUUUGGUUAGGAUUUGUUCAAGAUUUCAUUUAGGAUUUAGGAUUUUAUUUGAAUUUAUUUAGGAUUUAAGAUUUACUUAGUUUUUGGCCUAAAGUUUGAAUAAAGUAAGAUUUCAACUAGGAUUAAAUUAAGAUUGAAUUGGAAUGUAUUUGAGAUAUGUUUGUAAUCAUUCUAAUAUUUCUAUAAGAUUUCUUAUUAUUUCUUUGGAAUGCCUUUGAGGUUUCUCUAAAUUUGAUUAAAGUUUGUUUAGCAUUGUUAGUGUUCUAUUAGAAUUAGGAUUUCAUUAUUGCAAUUUCCAUUCUACCUUCCAUAGUCAGGUGCCCGGAGCAUUCUCAAGCAAGACUUCACAUAU